CACCAAGGCGCUAAUUUUGACACGUGCGCCGUGACAGGCGAUGGGUAUAUCGCGAAAGGAAGACUGCUGCAGCCUGGUGGUAUUGUGAUCUGGACCCAGCUGUUCCAACGAUGCCUGCAAAAACGCAGAACACCCUCAGUAGUCUGGAGGAGCGUCAAAAAGCGAACCGCGAUGCCAACCGCAAAGUGCUCCGAGAACUCGGCCUACUCGAACCGUUGCCGCCCCUGCCGUCGGCAAUGCGGGUGAAGCGGCCGGC